rnacentral:rRNA from 1 species
AAAACAUGUCUCUUAGAAAUUAUUAAGAGUCAGGCCUGCCCAGUGAUUGCUUUUUAACGGCCGCGGUACCCUGACCGUGCAAAGGUAGCAUAAUCAUUUGCCUUUUAAUUGAAGGCUGGUAUGAACGGUUUGACGAGAGUAAAGCUGUCUCACAUAUACUUAAUAAAAAUUAAUUUAAAGGUGCAAAAGCCUUUAUUGCCCAAAAAGACGAGAAGACCCUGUUGAGCUUUAAUUUAACUCAAGUACUAACUAUAUAUUAAUAUAAUUCACUUGCUUGAUAAAAAUUUUAAUUGGGGCGAUUAAGGAACAUUCAAAAGCUUCCUGACUAUUAACAAUAAAAUAUUCCAUAGAUUAAAUCGAUCCAGCAAUGCUGAUCAACAAAAUGAGUUACCACAGGGAUAACAGCAUAAUUCUUUUUGAGAGCUCAUAUCGAAAAAAGAGAUUGUGACCUCGAUGUUGGACUAGGGUAACCGGAAGGUGCAGCCGCUUUCCCGCUUGGUCUGUUCGACCAAUAAUUCCCUACGUGAUCUG